GAGGGGGGAGAGUUUUUUACUUUUUUCUUUUCUCUGAAAUCCGACUUUUUUUUUCGUCUUUCCUUUCGGGGGUGUCGUUUUUUUACAUCGGCUUUUCAUCAUCGCGGUUUAGGCGCGCAAGGUUUUUAUAAAAAAUACUACCCGGAGCAUCGCGCAGGUGUGGAGAUUUUUUAUAAAACCCGCAGGGCUCGACCUUGCACAGCCGUAAGAACCGCGAUAUACCUUUGCCGAUGGGAAAAAUGACCACCUCAAUAGGAAAAGAAUAGACAGGAGGAUAGCAGAGAAAAGAAAAUCAUUAAAUGUAUACUCCGCUCUCCCUCGAUAGAGGGGUUUCUCAAACGCUCUUAAAUUUUAGCAUAGCGAAUUAUAAGAGGGUUUGUAGACAACUAAAACAAAUGUUUUAUUCCGGGUGAAGGUCGGAAGAAUUGACGGCCUGAAACCGAAUAAAUUAUUUGUUUUUCCGCUCUCCAUCGAUAGAGGGGUUCUGCGUUAGGGAUUGCAGGGGAAAUUCUUUUUUAAAAGAAUUGGAACGGAAAGCCCGACGGCUUUAGCCGGAACGCCCGAAUAAAAAUGGGUUUUUUAGCCAUUGGGAGAAUUGCCUAUGAGCGUAUAAAAAAAAACGGCAAAAGAGCAAUCCGGAUUGAAUUGGCCAACGAAAUUUUGACGGUAAAAAUCCAUCUGAAGAACCAGGCGCUGGCAAAAUUUUGCCGUCUUUUCAUAAGAAUAAAUUGACGGCAAAAAAGUUGCUUCAUUUGUUUUUUAAAAUCUUUUCGGUUACUUUGAACAGUCCGGAAAUCAGAUUUUUUACCGAGCUUGUAACAUUCUUAUUUUGGUCUGUCUCUUUUUCUUUGUUCACAGAAUAAGCGACAUAUAAUAGGAAUAUAAUCCAUGAGCUAUAAAGUAUAGUAUAUAUGAUAAUUUUCAUCUCA
rnacentral:sRNA from 1 species